rnacentral:rRNA from 1 species
AUUGAACGCUGGCGGCAUGCUAAACACAUGCAAGUCGAACGGCAGCACCACAGAGCUUGCUCUGUGGGUGGCGAGUGGCGGACGGGUGAGUAAUGCAUCGGGACCUGCCCAGACGUGGGGGAUAACGUAGGGAAACUUACGCUAAUACCGCAUACGUCCUACGGGAGAAAGCGGGGGAUCGCAAGACCUCGCGCGGUUGGAUGGACCGAUGUGCGAUUAGCCAGUUGGUAAGGUAACGGCUUACCAAGGCGACGAUCGCUAGCUGGUCUGAGAGGAUGAUCAGCCACACUGGGACUGAGACACGGCCCAGACUCCUACGGGAGGCAGCAGUGGGGAAUAUUGGACAAUGGGCGCAAGCCUGAUCCAGCAAUGCCGCGUGUGUGAAGAAGGCCCUCGGGUUGUAAAGCACUUUUAUCAGGAGCGAAAUCUGCAAGGUUAAUACCUUUGCAGUCUGACGGUACCUGAGGAAUAAGCACCGGCUAACUCCGUGCCAGCCGCCGCCGUAA